rnacentral:lncRNA from 1 species
CCAUUUUGGGUGAGGUCCUAGGUUGUUACAAAUGAUAUCAGAGCGGACCCGGCCCAUAACCUAUGUGGACUAGGCAUGGAUCCAUUGGGGUUGACCACGGGUCAAUCGUAGUGUUUGUGAUUAGAUUUGAAUAGAUAUGAACCCUUAGCCUAACGAGGAUGUCGGGGCUUGAACGGGGGAAGUAUGUGAGAACCCAUGCGGGCGUGUGUUUAGUCCCACAUCGGUUAUUUGUUAGAUAGAUCUUGGGUACUUAUACAGGAUCAAAGAACCCAAAUAAUACCUUCCAGCUAG